UAGGGAAUCUUCGGCAAUGGACGACAGUCUGACCGAGCAACGCCGCGUGCGUGAAGAAGGUUUUCGGAUCGUAAAACUCUGUUGUUAGAGAAGAACAAGGACGUUAGUAACUGAACGUCCCCUGACGGUAUCUAACCAGAAAGCCACGGCUAACUCCGUGCCAGCAGCCGCGGUAAUACGUAGGUGGCAAGCGUUGUCCGGAUUUAUUGGGCGUAAAGCGAGCGCAGGCGGUUUCUUAAGUCUGAUGUGAAAGCCCCCGGCUCAACCGGGGAGGGUCAUUGGAAACUGGGAGACUUGAGUGCAGAAGAGGAGAGUGGAAUUCCAUGUGUAGCGGUGAAAUGCGUAGAUAUAUGGAGGAACACCAGUGGCGAAGGCGGCUCUCUGGUCUGUAACUGACGCUGAGGCUCGAAAGCGUGGGGAGCAAACAGG
rnacentral:rRNA from 1 species